CAAAGUGUAGCUUAACAUAAAGCGCCUGGCCUACACCCAGAAGAUUUCAUGUUCAUUGACCACUUUGA
rnacentral:tRNA from 3 species